rfam:Acidobacteria bacterium 13_1_40CM_56_16 13_1_40cm_scaffold_639, whole genome shotgun sequence.
GGGCCCAUAGCUCAGUCGGUUAGAGCUCCCGGCUCAUAACCGGGCAGUCGUAGGUUCAAGUCCUACUGGGCCCA